rnacentral:misc_RNA from 1 species
GAUGAAGAACGUAGCGAAAUGCGAUAAGUAAUGUGAAUUGCAGAAUUCAGUGAAUCAUCGAAUCUUUGAACGCACAUUGCGCCCGCCAGUAUUCUGGCGGGCAUGCCUGUUCGAGCGUCAUUUCAACCAUCAAGCCCCAGGCUUGUGUUGGGGACCUGCGGCUGCCGCAGGCCCUGAAAACCAGUGGCGGGCUCGCUAGUCACACCGAGCGUAGUAGCAUACACAUCGCUCAGGGCGUGCUGCGGGUUCCGGCCGUUAAACCCCUUUUUUACCCAAGGUUGACCUCGGAUAAGGUAGGAAGACCCGCUGAACUUAAGCAUAUCAAUAAGCGGAGGA